CAGUGAUUGAACAGUCUCUAUAUUUUCUAUAUCAUAAACUUUUUACAAUGUCGCAUGUCAUACAUUCACUGAAAUAUUUAGCCAAAAUAUUUAAUUUCUAAUGAAGUGACAAUAGUAUAUACCUUGCAUUCGAUUAUUAUAUCCUAAACAAUUCCAAUGAGAUGGUUGCGCAGAGAGAAAGGGUGGGAAGGAGAGAAGUAAAUGUCGAUGUGAUCUUUGUACCUGAGAGAGAGUCUGCAAUGUGUUUGCACAGAAGAGAGAGCCACUGACUUAUUUGCCAUG
rnacentral:lncRNA from 1 species